AAUGAACGCUGGCGGCGCGCCUAAUACAUGCAAGUCGAGCGAGAAGACGUAGCAAUACGUUUGUAAAGCGGCGAACGGGUGAGGAAUACAUGGGUAACCUACCCUCGAGUGGGGAAUAACUAGCCGAAAGGUUAGCUAAUACCGCGUACGCUUCUUGGACUUCGGUUCAGGGAGGAAAGCGAUACCGUGGGUAUCGCGCUCUUGGAUGGGCUCAUGUCCUAUCAGCUUGUUGGUGAGGAACGGCUCACCAAGGCUUCGACGGGUAGCUGGUCUGAGAGGACGAUCAGCCACACUGGCACUGCGACACGGGCCAGACUCCUACGGGGAGGCAGCAGUAAGGAAUAUUGCGCAAUGGGCGAAAGCCUGACGCAGCGACGCCGCGGUGGGGGAUGAAGGUCUUCGGAUUGUAAA
rnacentral:rRNA from 1 species